UUCUGCUCUCCCUCGAUUGCUCUCUCCCUCCCUCUCUCCCUCCCACUUUUCCUGAACCACAGCUUCCGGGAACACAGAGUCAACUGUCUGGCAGCUUUCAUGUACUAGCUGUGGUUCUGGAAGGCCCUGGUCCGGGUAUGGAAGCCCAGGGAACUGCCCGCCAGGCUGGAGGCAGGGCCUGCACAGGGCAUCCGUGUCUGCCUCUCCCUGGGCUUCCACCUCCCACCCAGGCACCCACGUUCCCAGCGGCUUUCUGCUUGGGGAAGUUCUGCUGCUGAAACUGGGGAUUCCCAGAGUGGAAGGGGCCCUGCCGAAUAGCCAGCCACCUCCUCUACUUCUCAGUGAGAAGAAAACCAAGGCGGUGGGGGUGGGGGACGCAAGGCGGGGCUUCCCCGGGAUCACACAGCUGAGCAGAGGCCAGGCCAGGGGUCCCUGAUCUGCUGCCUGAGUCCUGGGCCCUUCCUGCCUCCCCACGGAGAGGAGACGGCUGGGUCAGAGGCCUGGCCUGUCAACAGGAAGGGCACUUCCCUCCUCCUAAAGGCCCAGCGAUCGGGCUCCAGUGUAGCAAUGAGGACACUGAGGACACAGGCUCCACGGAGGGGAGGAAGCGGCUGCCUGCCCGCCUGUCAGACUCUGAUCUCAAAUUAGAAUGACGCCUCUCAUCUCUGCCCUGCUUUGAAUCUGAGAGGCCUCCUCCGCCCUUCAGCUGCAGCCUCGUGACCAGGAACAGAGCGGGCCCUGUGUCCUGGAGGCCUUCAUCAGGGAAGGGGGAAGCCGUCCAUGCAGGAGGUGGCAUGUAUUGAUUACCUGUGCCCCACCCCUACGCCCCAAAGCCAGACACUGUGCUUGUGAGUUGUUACUUAGGUGACAUUCAUUCCCCACCACGUCCUUGGGCAGGAGGCAGGAUGCUCACCUCUGUGGCAGGCGGAGGUGAGGCUCAGCGAGGAGAAGGAGGUGAUGCGUCUGUGGUAGGGGGAGGAGGUGAGGCUCAGCGAGGAGAAGGAGGUGAUGCCUCUGUGGCAGGAGGAGGAGAGAGACAUCUCCAGCCCCCACGUCCUGGAAUCUUUGUAGAGGGUCAGCUCUGAGCUCAUGGAGCCAGGCCCUGCCUGCCCACCCAGCUCUAGAGGCUACAGCUGCAGUAAGAAACGAAUCUGCCCUCACCUCCUUCACCUGGAGCCAGCCUCCCCAGCACUCUGGUCUCAGGCGCUGGCGGGCAGCAGAGAUGUAGGGCUUACUCCCAGGAUGGAAUGUGAAGGAGAGAUGGUGGCUCACUGCAGCCUUAACCUCCCAGGCUCAAGCUAUCCUCCUGUCUCAGCCUCCAGAGCAACUAGGACUACAGGUGCACCACCAUGCCCAGGCGGAGUCUCGCUCUGUCACCCAGGCUGGAGUGCUGU